GCCUCGGUAGCUCAGUCGGUAGAGCAGUGGACUGAAAAUCCUCGUGUCGGCGGUUCGAUUCCGCCCUGAGGCACCA
rnacentral:tRNA from 1 species